rnacentral:rRNA from 1 species
UACGUAGGGGGCGAGCGUUGUCCGAAGUUACUGGGCGUAAAGCGCACGUAGGCGGCUUUGCAAGUCAGAGGUGAAAGCCCGGGGCUCAACCCCGGAAUUGCCUUUGAGACUGCAUCGCUAGAAUUGUGGAGAGGUAAGUGGAAUUCCGAGUGUAGAGGUGAAAUUCGUAGAUAUUCGGAAGAACACCAGUGGCGAAGGCGACUUACUGGACACAUAUUGACGCUGAGGUGCGAAAGCGUGGGGAGCAAACAGG